rnacentral:rRNA from 1 species
UACGUAGGGGGCAAGCGUUGUCCGGAAUCAUUGGGCGUAAAGCGCGUGUAGGCGGUCCGGUAAGUCCGCUGUGAAAGUCGGGGGCUCAACCCUCGGAUGCCGGUGGAUACUGUCGGGCUUGAGUACGGAAGAGGCGAGUGGAAUUCCUGGUGUAGCGGUGAAAUGCGCAGAUAUCAGGAGGAACACCGGUGGCGAAGGCGGGUCUCUGGGACGAUACUGACGCUGAGGAGCGAAAGCGUGGGGAGCAAACAGG